ACUUGCAAGAAAGAAUUAAAAAAUGAAAAGUUAGAGCAAAUCCAAUUAAGCACUCCAAGCUAUGAAUUUUCUAAGUUAUCUCGGAGACCGAUACCAUGUCUUGUUGCUAAGGAAUCAUUGUCUUCUCCUUAACAUACACUACUUCAUUGAGAAAAACUUAGUAGCUCACUAGAGUGCAACCAUUGUUCUCUUACCUUUCUCUGAAAAUCCAUUCACUUUGCUGUUGUUGAGAUCAUAUCAUCAUGGCUGGUGUAGUUGUUGGUGGAGCUUUGCUCUCUGGAUUCAUUAACAUUGUCAUUAACAAGUCCCUUAGAGAGGAUGUAGUCAACCGGGUCUUGGGCAAGAAACUUGGCCCUGGCUUGGUUGAGAGGCUGAAAAUUUCUCUGCAUGCUGCUGAAGCUGUGCUUGAUGAUGCUGAGUACAAGGAACUGGGCCACAAAGGUGUGAGGGAUUGGCUCAACUGUCUGAGAGAUGCUGUUUAUGAUGCUGAUGACUUUCUGGACGCUGUCCUCACCAAAGCCGCCACUAAAAAGGAGGUACGUUCUGUCUUGCCUAGUUUCUUCCUCAACCGACAUAGGAAGAUGGUAGAUAACAUGGAAGGGGUGGUUGCAAGAAUAGAAUUUCUUGUAAGUCAAAAAGAUAACCUUGGUCUUCAAAAGAGUACCAAGGAUAAUAACUUGUCAUCAUCAUCAUGGCGAGAAACCACAUGUAAGAUGGAAGGGAGCAUAUAUGGCAGGGAGGAUGAUCAACAAGCUUUAAUCAAAAUAAUACAUGACAACAGUGAAUCUCAGUUAUAUGUGAUUCCUAUUGUUGGCAUGGGUGGGGUUGGUAAAACAACCUUAGCCAAAUGGGCGUACAGUGUCGCGGAGGGAUUUGAUCUCAAAGCAUGGGUCUCCAUCUCUGAAACAUUUGAUGUUGCUGACAUUACAAGGAAAACCAUUGAGGAAAUUACUGAAAAUUCUUGUACCCUUCGGAGUUUAAAUUUGCUUCAAAAUGUAUUGCAGAAAAUCUUGUCGAGAAAGAAGUUCUUUAUUGUUCUAGACGAUGUCUGGAGCGAUGAUGCCGAUAAGUGGAAGCAAUUUAUAACUCCUUUUCGCUGUGGGGUUAAGGGUAGUACAAUUAUUCUAACAACUCGCAAUCAAGAGGUUGCUUCAGUAGUUAAAACAUGUCCCUCUUUCAUUCUUAAUGAGUUGUCCGAAGAGUAUUGUUGGUUAUUGUUUGCAGCCAAUGCAUGUUUUCCGGAGUCAAACGGUAAUCCAACAUUAGAGGAAAUCGGUAAAAAGAUUGUCAAGAAGUGUAAAGGGUUGCCAUUAGCGGUAGCAACACUUGGGCGCUUGUUGCAAGGAAAAGAUGAUGCUAAAGAAUGGAAUGCUGUUUUAAGGGAUGACAUCUGGGAAUUUCCUAUGAAAGAUAGUAAAAUUAUUCCAGCAUUGUUAAUAAGCUACUUCCACUUAUCUCCUUACUUGAAGCGUUGUUUCAUUUAUUGUUCAUUGUUUCCCAAGGAUCAUUACUUUAAGAAAAAUGAACUAGUUUUGCUGUGGAUGGCUGAAGAUCUUUUAAGGCUACCAAAGAGAGGAGAGAGUUUAGAAGAGGUUGCUUCUGAGUGUUUUGAAGAGUUAGCUUCAAGGUUAUUUUUUAAACCAGCUAAGUAUCCUUCUGAGAGGUACGUGAUGCAUGAUCUCUUGCAUGACUUGGCAGUAUUCCUUGCUGGAGACUUCUAUUGUAGAAUAGAAGAACUUGGUGAACAAGAAAAGAAGAAGGUUCUCACUCGGCAUUUGUCACAUUUGCCAUAUGGAAGCUUAGAUCGUCCAAACUCAAAAGUCUUUAAGCUCGAUAUGAAAUCAGAAUCUUUGAGGACAUCAUUGUAUAUUAAUGGUUUGUUAAGCAAGGAAAGCAGAGCAAAGUUGAAAUACUUGAGAGUUUUAUCCUUUGGUGAACUUGAUGCAUUACCAGGUUCAAUUGGCAAAUUGAUUCAUCUACGCUUUUUGAAUCUCUCUUGGACUGAUGUGGAGACAUUACCAGAGUCAUUAUGCAACUUGUAUAAUCUACAAACAUUAAUAUUGUAUGCAUGUUCUAACCUGACCAUGUUGCCCGAUGGCAUGCAUAAACUUAUGAAAUUACGGCAUCUUGUCCUGAGUGGAACUUGUUUGAAAGAAAUGCCUAGAGGAAUAAGUAAAUUGAAACACAUGCAUAUUUUAGAUUAUUUUGUGGUGGGCAAGCACAAAGACAAUGGAAUCCAGGAAUUAGGAGGGCUCUCAAAUCUUGAAGGAUCGUUGGAGAUUAAGAAGUUGGAGAAUGUUGCUGAUGUGAGACAAGCAAGGAGUGCAAGGAUGUUGGAGAAGAACCACAUUGACGACUUAUGGUUGGAAUGGUGUUCAGAUGAUGAAAUGGUUUCAAACACAGAGACUGAGCGAGAUAUACUCGACGGCUUGCAACCGCACAAUGGGUUGAAAGCGUUGAGAAUGAAGGGAUACAAGGGCGAAAGAUUUCCAGAUUGGGUGGGGCACUCUUCUUACAACAAUAUGACAAGUGUAUGGCUAGUGUCUUGCAAGAAUUGCUGCAUGCUGCCUUCACUUGGACAGCUGCCAUCUCUUGGGUACCUGGGCAUUGAAGGUUUUCUUCAGCUCGAGCGUAUUGGUGAUGAGUUUUACAAGAGUGACAGCGAUCAUCAUUCUUCGCCUACUGCACCGUUUCCCUCGCUGGAGACGUUGAAAUUUCAUAAUAUGCCAUGCUGGCAGGAGUGGCACGUACCUUACCCAGAAGCUUUUCCUCGGCUUAAGAGACUUGAAAUAGAACGUUGUCCAAUGUUAAAGGGUGAUAUGCUUAAUGCCAUAUUCUGGAGAAGGGUUUCUUGUUUGUCGGAUGUUUCGAAAGUAGAAAUGCGGGAAGAUGAUGAAGCUGGUGGGGAUGAUUUAUCAAUAAGGGGAUCUGAAUCAUUUAAUGCAAGGACCAUCAACCAUCUGUGUUGCCUCCAAGAACUACGUAUUUCAGGGUGUCCGUCAAUUGUAUCCUUUCCGGGUAAUUGUUUACCCAAAUCUCUGCAAAAGCUGAAAAUCUCGAGUUGCCCAAACUUUGAAUUCCUCGAGCAACAGCAGCACAAGUAUGAUUUGGUAGACCUACAAAUAGAAGACAGUUGUGAUUCAAUGACCUCCUUGUCGUUGGAUGUCUUUCCCAAUCUCAAGAAUCUCGAGAUAUAUAAUUGUAGGAAUCUGGAAUCAGUGUCAAUGUCAGAGGCGCCACACGCUGCUCUUAAAGAAGUCACCAUCUUUAGGUGCUCGAAAUUAGUGUCAUUUGCAGGAGAAGGACUGGCUGCACCCAACUUGACUCAUCUCGGCCUCUCAGACUGCGACAAGUUGGAGGCAUUACCACGUGACAUGAAGAUUCUACUCCCAAGUUUACACUUUCUCCACAUAUAUGUCUCAGAUAUGUGCAGGUUUGCAGAGGGUGGUUUACCGCCUAACUUGAAAUCACUUUUUGUGGGAACUAGCGAGCAACAAACGAGGGAUCUAUCAUGGAUGCCCAACUUCCACGCCCUCACUCGUCUUACACUUGACGGUUCUUACUGCGUCAACAUAAAGUCAUACCCAGAGGUGGGUUCGCUGCCUCACCUUCCCUCCCUUACCACUCUUGAGAUAUUGUGGUUCGAUAAUAUGGAGACAUUGGAGUGCAACGAGCUUCUCCGCCUCACCUCCCUUCAAAGAUUAAUAAUUGAAGAAUGUGGGAAGCUGGAGAAUAUGGAAGGAGAAAAGCUGCCUCCCUCUCUCUUGCUACUUCAAAUUAAAGAGUGUGGUUUGCUGGGAGAACACUGCAAGAACAAGCAUCAACUAAUCUGGCCCAAAAUUUCCCACAUCCCCACCAUUCAGGUCGAUGACAAACAAAUUUUCUGAAUAAAGAUUUCUGAAACAGGUAGAUUGUAAUGAAGUAAAAGUCCCCAAAUGGUGGAGAUUUCAUCUUAUACAAGGUUUCAGCUUCAGCUCAUGUGCAGUAAAAACAGAAAUGAAGUAGAAGAGAAAGAAAAUUACACCCAGAUAUAUCCUGGUUCAGUUGCUAAGUGCAGUGCAGCCUACAUCCAGUCUCCAUCACAACAAUAAUGGAAUUUCACUAUAAUCUUCCUGAUUACAAACUGUAAAAUGCUAACCCAACUUACAAGGGGAUUCCCACAGAAUCAUGAAACACAGCAUAGAUGAAUAAAGGAACUCUAAGGAUAUCUAUGACUUUUUUUCUUUUAAUUUUGCACUCUCUUUCUUUUUCCGCUCUAUGGCUUUUUCAUACAAACCUCACUGUUUGCCUUUUUCCAUGAGACUCAAGACAUGACAAAAAUAAAUAGAAAAAUACAAAACAGAAUACAUUGAAGGAGAAGAGAAAUCUGUUAGCUCAGGUAGCUCUGAGAACACUGUGCCUCGCACUCUCACACUUUCUUCUUGCUCCAAACCGUGGCUGUUCUCUCUUUUUAUAGAAGAGGGAAGCCUCCACCUUUGAAGCCAAAAACCAAGCCAACUUUUUCUUCUCCAAGAACAAAACCGGUUCGGCCAGAGAGAGAGAAGAGAUAACCCAUGCAAAACCUAACAUGCAAUUACCUCUAGUCCUUCCUUGGUCAUCACUCUUCAUCAAUCCGAGCGCUCCAUCCUUGGCUUGCUCUCCAAGAUGAAUUUCUGGCCCUUGAUGCUUCAUGAUGAUGAUAGCUUCAUUUGCUCCUAUCUCUGCCUCUUCCAUCACGUAGCCACUGUAGCUACCUCCUGUGGUGGUUGAGCAAGAUCAGAGAUAAGCCAUCCCUCCAAAGAUCUUCUCCUUGUUGGCCGAAUCUCCUUCAACCAUUUUUGGUAUGGAGGAGGCAAGAUCUCAUCACCAUAUCUUACCAUAAGUGAUAAGAAUCUCAACCACUAUAUUUUUUAUGUUUUCUUGCCAUCAGUUCGAUGGUCUUAAUGCAUGUAGCUUCUUCUUCCUUUUGGUAGCUCAACUUAGCUUCCAUAAUUUCCUGUGAUAUGACCGAAAGGAAGAAAGAGUAGAGAAAGAAGAAAGAGAAAAAGAAAAACAAAGCUAUGAGUGUUAUGAUAAAUAAAUUAAUUAGGUGCAUUUCUCCAUGCUUUGUGUAGUAGCGUGUAAGCUACCCUUAAUUGCCAUCAAAUCACUUUGACCUUUUCUCUUUCAUAUUUUCGAGGACUGCAUUAACUUUACUUGAUAAAAUUUGAAUUCCACCACAUGUUAAAGAAGGAAGUCCAUUGGAAGCAUACAACCAAGAGUCAAUGAAUCGGGUUUUCAUUAUUUUAACCAUUGUGUCCCAAUUCCAUUUCUCUUUCGGAUCAAGCAUGCAAAACAAUUUGGACUUAUGAUAAUAUUUGAAUUCUGGCCCAAAUUAUCACAAAUUGCUUCAGCCAUAUAAUAUAGAAAACAUUAAAACAAGGCUGAAUGGUUUUAAGCAUAUUGGGCUUGCAAUAAUUUUUCUUUUCUGUUUGGCCCAAUAAGAAAACCUGCAUCACAAAAUUAUUAAUUAACAUAUGUUAAAU